GACAGAGGGUGCAAACGUUGCUCGGAAUUACUGGGCGUAAAGGGCGCGUAGGCGGCCUGUUAAGUCGAACGUGAAAUCCCCCGGGCUCAACCCGGGAACUGCGUCCGAUACUGGCAGGCUUGAAUCCGGGAGAGGGAUGCGGAAUUCCAGGUGUAGCGGUGAAAUGCGUAGAUAUCUGGAGGAAUACCGAUGGCGAAGGCAGCCAUCUGGCCUAACACUGACGCUGAGGUGCGAAAGCAUGGGGAGCAAACAGG
rnacentral:rRNA from 1 species